UACGUAGGGGGCAAGCGUUGUCCGGAAUUAUUGGGCGUAAAGAGCGUGUAGGCGGUCCGGUAAGUCGGCUGUGAAAGUCCAGGGCUCAACCCUGGGAUGCCGGUGGAAACUGUCGGGCUAGAGUGCGGAAGAGGCGAGUGGAAUUCCUGGUGUAGCGGUGAAAUGCGCAGAUAUCAGGAGGAACACCAAUUGCGAAGGCAGCUCGCUGGGACGUUACUGACGCUGAGACGCGAAAGCGUGGGGAGCAAACAGG
rnacentral:rRNA from 1 species